rnacentral:rRNA from 1 species
UACGGAGGGUGCAAGCGUUAAUCGGAAUUACUGGGCGUAAAGCGUGCGCAGGCGGUGAUGUAAGACAGAUGUGAAAUCCCCAGGCUCAACCUGGGAACUGCAUUUGUGACUGCAUCGCUGGAGUACGGCAGAGGGGGAUGGAAUUCCGCGUGUAGCAGUGAAAUGCGUAGAUAUGCGGAGGAACACCGAUGGCGAAGGCAAUCCCCUGGGCCUGUACUGACGCUCAUGCACGAAAGCGUGGGGAGCAAACAGG